rnacentral:rRNA from 1 species
CCUACGGGAGGCACCAGUGGGGAAUAUUGCACAAUGGGCGCAAGCCUGAUGCAGCCAUGCCGCGUGUAUGAAGAAGGCCUUCGGGUUGUAAAGUACUUUCAGCGGGGAGGAAGGUGUUGUGGUUAAUAACCACAGCAAUUGACGUUACCCGCAGAAGAAGCACCGGCUAACUCCGUGCCAGCAGCCGCGGUAAUACGGAGGGUGCAAGCGUUAAUCGGAAUUACUGGGCGUAAAGCGCACGCAGGCGGUCUGUCAAGUCGGAUGUGAAAUCCCCGGGCUCAACCUGGGAACUGCAUUCGAAACUGGCAGGCUAGAGUCUUGUAGAGGGGGGUAGAAUUCCAGGUGUAGCGGUGAAAUGCGUAGAGAUCUGGAGGAAUACCGGUGGCGAAGCCGGCCCCCUGGACAAAGACUGACGCUCAGGUGAGAAAGCGUGGGGAGCAA